rnacentral:rRNA from 1 species
GACGUAGGGUGCGAGCGUUGUCCGGAUUUAUUGGGCGUAAAGAGCUCGUAGGCGGUUUGUCGCGUCUGCUGUGAAAAUCCAGGGCUUAACCCUGGACCUGCAGUGGGUACGGGCAGACUGGAGUGCGGUAGGGGAGAUCGGAAUUCCUGGUGUAGCGGUGAAAUGCGCAGAUAUCAGGAGGAACACCGGUGGCGAAGGCGGAUCUCUGGGCCGUAACUGACGCUGGAGGAGCGAAAGCUGGGGAGCAACAGG